UACAAAUAAUAUAAUUUAAUUUAAUCAGUAAUAAUUAAUUAAAAUUUUAAAUUAAAAUUUUUAAGGUGAAAUUUUAAAUUUUAAUAAAAUUUAGUUUUUAUAAUGAAGUUAAGAAAUUUAAUAAGUAAACUAGGAUUAGAUACCCUUUUAAAUGUAAUUUUAAGUACUAAAUUAGUAAUAGUUGUGUUCUUGAAAAUUAAAAAAUUUGGCGGUAUCUUAGUCUAUUCAGAGGAACCUGUUCUAUAAUUGAUAAUCCACGAUUUAAUUUACUUUUUUUAUUAGUUUGUAUAUCGUCGUAAUGGAAUAUUUUAUAAGAAUUAUAAUAUUCAAGAUUUCAAAUAAGAAAAUAAAUCAGAUCAAGGUGCAGUUUAUAAAAAAGAAGAAAUGGGUUACAAUAAAUUUAUUUAGCGAUUAUUGUUAUUAAAAUAAUAUGAAUAUGGAUUUGAAAGUAAAUUUAAUUAAUUAAUUAAAUUGAUUUAGCUCUAAGAUAUGUACACAUCGCCCGCACUCUU
rnacentral:rRNA from 1 species